rnacentral:miRNA from 1 species
AAUGGGGACAACGCAUCAUAAUCGA